rnacentral:rRNA from 1 species
CCCUUAGAUGUCCUGGGCCGCACGCGCGUUACACUGAUGCAUUCAACGAGCUUAUAACCUUGGCCGAGAGGCCUGGGCAAUCUUGUUAACGUGCAUCGUGAUAGGGAUAGAUUGUUGAAAUUAUUAAUCUUGAACGAGGAAUUCCUAGUAAACGUAGAUCAUCAAUCUGCAUUGAUUACGUCCCUGCCCUUUGUACACACCGCCCGUCGCACCUACCGAUUGGAUGGUCCGGUGAAGCCUCGGGAUUGUGGUUCUUGCCGCUUUAUUGUGGCGUGACCGCGAGAACUUGUCUAAACCUUAUCAUCUAGAGGAAGGUGAAGUCGUAACA